AGCGACAAUGCGUGGAGGGCACAGCGCUGUGCCUGCCUUCUUCUCUGGCCACGAUGACUGAGCUGGGGAGUCAGCACUGGGCCCUGCAAACCAGGCGUCCCACUGCCUUACCUGAGAGUCAAGUGCUGGAGCUGGCCGUUCUCCCCACAGCACCUUAAAGACGGGAGAAAGCCAACCCUGCUGUCAGCAACCCUGAUGAGAUUUUUCCCAGAUUAUCAUCUAAUGGAAAAGAAAUCUCUCUCUCCAAAUGCAAGUUUCUCAGCACUGAGCCUCCAGCCCAGCAGUUUCGCUCCUGGAAGUUUGUCUUACAUGGAUGAAAUGAGCUGUGUACAAGGUUACCCAUGGCAAUGUUGUUUUGAUAGAAGAAAGAAAAGACUGAAAACGACCAAAAUAUCUUUCCUCAGGGCACAGGAUAUACAAGCGAGUGUACACCGCUAUAAUGGGAUUGUAGGUAAAAGAACCUGUGUUUGUGGCUGGUAACACAAACUGUAUUCAUGAAGUGACAAACACUUCAUGAGUGGACAAUCUCCUUUCAGAGAACUGCAAAACAAAGCUGAAGGAACUGAGAGUUGGCUCCUUAUCCAGUUCAGGCUGGUUAAGACCACCAACUCACCAACUGGGCCUGCACAGAUGACUGAUAGGUGACCCUUUGAUAUCAAGGAGCUGAAAACCACCCUCAGGUCAUGGCAAUGCCACCAUUUUGUGAACACGCAUCCUAUGAAGAGCCAUGAAGCUUGACUACACUUGCGGAGAUCAUCAAUUACCUCACCUCUCCUUGCCUCCAGUCAUCUAUUCUCACUUCACACCACCCUGCCCCUUUAUCCCAUAAAUAUCUCUAAUCCCUAUUUUUCAAGGAUGC
rnacentral:lncRNA from 1 species